GUGCAGAGGGUCUCUGGGCCUGUCCCAGGGAGCAACAGCCACAGCUGUCCCCGGGCAGAAGUUGUGGGUUAGGGUGGCGAAAUGCAGCACGCUCAUACCCAGCUCUGAGGCGGCCUGCAGCCCGGCUCGGGAACAUCAGUCUCUUUCCAAGUACAUAGCAGUGGCCAUUCAUGCCAAAGUAUGUCCUUCCCCCUGUGCUCGACAUCUCUCUCACACUGACCAACACUUGUUGCCUUGCUUCCUGCCUAGGACGUGAGUGACCGAAUAGAAAAGGAAUCCCUGGAUGGCCCAAUUGUGAGGCAGUUAGAGAGAGGUGGGCGAGCUGUGGUGAAGAUGGACUGGCGGGAGAAUAUCACUGUGCCCCUCCAGACAGAUUUGCGUAAAUUCAGAACCUACAAGGGUGGCUCUGUCAGAGAUCUCCCUGCGAGCCAUGAGAAACAAGAAACACCACUACCGAGAGCUCCCUGUGGAGGUGCAGGAAACACUGGGCUCCCUCCCCGAUGACUUUGUGCGCUACUUCACAUCGCGCUUCCCCCACCUCCUCUCACACACCUACUGGGCCAUGGAGUUGUGCAGCCACGAGAGACUCUUCCAGCCCUACUACUUCCACGAGCCCCCAGAGCCCCCACCCCCAGUGACUCCAGAUGUCCUCUGAGCUAGGGCAACUCUGUUCUGGUGGCCGCAGCUGUGACAGUGGGCCUGGUCUCUGUAGUCCAGAGUUUGACACCACCCUGGCUUAGCAGGGAGACCAGGCUUCUCAAACCAAGUGCCUUGAGCUGCCCCCUCUGCAGCCAGCAGAGGCUGGCCCCAGGAAGUGGGAGAACCGGCCCUCAAGACCUCCAGGGAGCAGGCAAGAAGUUGGCCUUGGAAGCUGCUCUCUAGUUCGGAGGUAUCUGCAGUGGUGGGCUCCUCACAGGCUGUGAAAGGAGCCCUGCUGACCUGCUGGAUGAGCUCACCUCGGCUUACCUCUCUUUGUAAAAUUCCUGUUUGACAUCAGUCUCUGGGCCUUUCAAGAGGGGAGUGGAAGAAUCCUAGGUUUUGCCUGCAAGCUGGGAUGUAGGAAGUGCAGCCUCUGCUAGAAGUGGGCUCAAGAGGUAGUGAAGCCGUUGGCAUAAGGCAUGAAGUUAGAGACUGGCCAGCGAUGCCUAUGGGCAGUUGAGAUGGGUCUGCAGGUCUCUGGGAGAUGAAGAGGAUGCUCUGUUCAGGAGGCAGUGCUAGUCCAGAACCCUGGUGGCCUGAGCAGUAAUGUGUGGUGGGUCGUGUCCUGGGCCAUUGGGGCAGGAGAUGAAGAGUCCCCUGGACAUCAGUGAUGGCAGCUAAGAACCGCAUAGGGACAAGUCUUCAGAACAAGAAGGGAGCAACUGAAUGGGAGCCUCCCGGCCACCUAGAGAAGACCCUGAACCAGCUUGUGAGGAUAAGGCUGCUCCAUCUCUGAGCCCAACAAGUCAGGGUGCAUGUGGUGGGUCAGGGCCUAUGGGUUGGGAGCCAGGGUCAGAGUCACUGUGGGCUUUGUGGGCCAGCUUUUAUGUUUCUCCUGGCAAAUUUUAAUGGCUACAUUUCGAUCAUACUGUAGAAUGCUACAUUAGCAUAAGUAAGCUAAACUUAACAUGAACUUACUUGUAAAGAAAUACAAGAUAUAAUAUCUUCUGUUUCGUGUGGUACCAAAAAUCUCCAUGCCCUCAAGAGUGUUCCAUUUAGAACAUUCUCUAAUGCUGAAGGAUAAAACAUUCUAGCAACACUAUGUAAAUAUAUUAAUGUCAAAGUUAUGUACCCUAAGUUAUGUCACUACCCUUUUUUCUCAAAUUAAUAUAAUUUUUUAACUUUAAUUUCAGUCAGAACUUCCUCUGCUCCCUCCUGAGAGCCUUGGAGCUUAAGAUGCAAUCAGGGUCCAUAGGAGGAAGCUCUGUGUGUCCACUUCCUCCAGUCAGUGAGAGUCACUCCAUCCAGCCCUGGCGAGCUGAGUCUUAGUUCCAUUGUUCUCGGGUAAGAGUGUCACUGCCAGCUUAGGGCACUGACAGGAGUCACUCCUGCUUCCUCCUGUGAGAAGUUUUCUGAUUGUGUUUGUGUCAGGGCCACUCAUCCAAAGCUCAUUCUGCCUCUGAAGAAUUCAGCCUUGCUUUUAUAAAAGCCAGAGUGACUUUUCUCUUAAUAUUAAUAUGAUCUCGCAUCUUUGAACUUCAUGAAUAACUCUGCUUAAGCCUUGGAAACUCAGCCUCUCCUUUGGCUUCCUCAGCAUCUCCCACCACAUGGUUCAUCUUCCAGGAAUAUGGCCAGACUGUUUCCUCUUGUUCUGAUGCAUCCAUACCAACUCUGCUUUUACAGUGCCCUCCACGUGGCUCCAGGUUCCUUUGCCUGGGGUCUGAGAGGUGACAGCCCAGGGGAGUGUCAGGAGGUGAAGUAGGUGCCAUGUGUUAUCUGACAGGACUCCCAUGUGGACUGCUGUUCACCUUGUUCUUGCAGCUGAGUUUUCUCUCCAGGAAGUGCCCAGGUGAUUUCUAGUGGCUCAGUUUGUUGUCAUCUCCUGUUUCUAGCCCAGUUUGCCUGGAGACAGCUUUUUCAGAUUCCUUUUCUGCUCAUCGGAUAGAUUCAUUUCUAACCAUCCAAAUUUCUCAGACUCCUUUAGUCAGCAUAUUUUAUUUGGGGAUUUACUAUAUUGAGAUGGGUAGGUCCCAGGGUGCUAGGGAAACCGAAGAGCCAGACAGGCCAAGCUCUGCUUUUGUAAAGCUUGUGAGAGAAUUAAGAGCAAAUAAGUAUAAUACUACAAAGAAUCUAGGCAGGUGGGGAAGGGCAUGUGUUUGGGGUUUGCACAUCUUUUGCCUUAAAAUACUCUGUCCCAGACUUAUCAUCUCUGGUCAGGUUACCUGUCUGUCUUUUCUUCUUACCUUCAGGGACUCAGACUCUCCUCCAGGUUUAUCUGAAGAGUUCUCAUGGAGACAUUUGUUUUGAAAACAUCUUGAGUGUUAUCUAGUGAGUCCAGUUUGAGCCUAGAAUUCCAGUUUCCCAUUGUGCUCACCAAGGGGAAGCUGUCUUUCAGAGGCCAGAACAGCUCUGUGACAUCGUGCCUCUUUAGUUUAAGCUACAGGGCUUCUACAAGUCUUGGAAGGCUGCCUAACUUUUUAGAAGUACACUCUCUCCAUCUUUCAGAUAGCAUUGAGUUGUGUCUGUUAGGGAUCAAAAAACCCUAUAAUUUAUUUAGGUCUUACCUUUUUUUUUUUUUUGUUGCUACCGGGAUCAAACUUGGGUCCUUGCGCUUGCACAGCAGGCGCGCGAAACCACUGAGCUAAAUCCCCGGCCCUAGGUCUUGUGCCAUGUGGUGAACCCCUCUGACACACGUGCCAAAACUUCUCUCAUUGCUUGAGUCUUUAAUUUCAGUUGUUGAAAAGUGCCACAUGUCACUAAGCAGCAAAGCAUUUGCACUUUCGAGAACACUGGUAUCACCUGAUCAGUCAUGACAUCGUCUGAUGGCUGGAGGUGAAUCCUGGGUACAGAGGGUCCCUGUUCUUGGUGCAGCAGUUGUUGCAGGCUUUUCUGAGAGACAGCACUGAUCAGUCACAGACCAAUGCUGACCAGUGGGUCCAAGCAAAAUGCUUUCUUCCCAGCUCUAGAAGAGGUUUUGUGUGUGUUUGAUUAUUCAGUUACCACUGGCAGUUCUUUCUCGUUACAGUAAGAGUAAUUCAUUGGCUGCUGAGAAAAGCUUCCACAGAAGCAGCCUUUGCAUUGCAGGGCUCCCGCUCCUGGCCACUUUGUUUUCAGCAACUGGCCUUUGGCUGGGGGUCAUUUUCCCCAUGUUUCCGUUCUCCAUCUGUUCACUGGAUCCUUGUUCUUUGUUCUCAUCAUUCAUUGGUCAGAAGUUAUCAGGAGAGCUGGAAGGAAGAGGAAGUGCAGCAGCCGUGGAAAGAACCUCUUUAAAUUCCCCAUUCACCGUUCUCUCUGCUCUUUGGCUUUGCAAACUGCAUCCAUGCUUCCCAGUGUGUCCCCCUUUGCCCCAGGUGCAGUGGUGUUAGUUGACUGCGGCUGGGCCUUGGCAUUUCCUGGAAGGAGAUCAUCAGUCAUCUUAGGCAGGGAGCCCAGAUUCUCCCUUCCAGGGUUGGAUUGUUAAUCUUUUAAGCCAAAGUAUCUGCUCUCUUCCUGUUCUUUGUUGUCUUUAUGAAGCAUUGAUUUUCCAUGAAUGACUCUGGCUGUGAUUUUUGUUUCAACACCUCAAUCCUGUCUGUAUACAUUGGAAGACCACAAAGGAUGCAUCUGCCAUGAGCCUCCCUCUGGAACAGCCUUCACCAUACUGCCAGCCAAAGUCCCCACUGCCAGGCCUCUCCUGUGCUCCUGUCUCGUGGGUACAGUAUUCCUUCCCAGUGUCCCUAAAGCUGUGAUGGAGAGUCCCCACUCACCUAAGCAUUACUGGUCAGCUACGUGGCAUUCUCACAUGUGAACCUUGUGUAGCGUUCUUUUUUGCAAUGACCUAUUUAUUGAACCUAUUUAUAUUUAUUUAAUUUUUACUCUGAAGUGUAUCCAGUUACAUUUGCACUUGCUUAAAAGCACAUCAGAUCUAUUUUGGACAACACCUUUGACCAUUUUAAAACUGGAAAGGAAGAGUUAUACUGUAUCCUUCCAUGGGAUGGAAGCCUUGUCUUUAAAGGGUGAAUAAUCUGGUCGGGGUAAAAUGCUAAUUUUUAAGUGAUUUUUUUUUUUUUAAUCAUGUGCCAUUGUGUCUUCUCUGUGGACAGUUGUUUUAAUUGAUAUGUGUUAGUUGUGUGAUACAAUCCUCUUUGUGGAACCUAAAAUUCUCUUUUUAACUUUAUAUUUUAUAAACUGCCAGAUUGUAUAAUUUUUUUAUGUGUAUUUUUAAAGCUUGAUGAUAUGAGAGUCAUUAUCUAAAGUUAAAAGGCCUAUUUUUUGUACCUCUUGUACAGUUUUAUAAUUCUGAUUAAUGAUGGCAUCUUACAUUUAGCCAACCACAAAUAAAGGUAGUUUAGAUAUGGG
rnacentral:lncRNA from 1 species